rnacentral:tRNA from 1 species
GGUUUGUGGCUCAGUGGUAGAGUACUUGCCUAGUACGUGUGGGCACUGGGUUUAAUUCUCAGCACCA